rnacentral:rRNA from 1 species
UACGUAGGGUGCGAGCGUUAAUCGGAAUUACUGGGCGUAAAGCGUGCGCAGGCGGUUUCACAAGCUCGAUGUGAAAGCCCCGGGCUUAACCUGGGAAUGGCAUUGAGGACUGUGGAGCUCGAGUGCGGCAGAGGGAGGUGGAAUUCCACGUGUAGCAGUGAAAUGCGUAGAUAUGCGGAGGAACACCGAUGGCGAAGGCAAUCCCCUGGGCCUGCACUGACGCUCAUGCACGAAAGCGUGGGGAGCAAACAGG